ACAGCAGUGGGGAAUUUUGGACAAUGGGCGCAAGCCUGAUCCAGCCAUGCCGCGUGCAGGAAGAAGGCUUUCGGGUUGAAAACUGCUUUUGUACGGAACGAAGCGUCCUUUUUUAAUUAAGAGGUAUAAUGACGGUACUGUAAGAAUAAGCACCGGAUAACUACGUCCCCGCAGCCGGGGUAAUACGGAGGGCGCAAGCGUUAAUCGGAAUUACUGGGCGUAAAGCGUGCGCAGGCGGUGAUAUAAGUCAGAUGAGAAAUCCCCGGUCUCAACGGGGGAACUGCAUGAGAGACUGCAUUGAUGGUGUACGGCAGAGGGGGAUGGAAUUCGGCGUGUAGCAGUGAAAUGCGUAGAUA
rnacentral:rRNA from 1 species